UACGGAGGAUGCGAGCGUUAUCCGGAUUUAUUGGGUUUAAAGGGUGCGUAGGCGGAUCGUUAAGUCAGUGGUCAAAUUGAGGGGCUCAACCCCUUCCCGCCAUUGAAACUGGCGAUCUUGAGUGGAAGAGAAGUAUGCGGAAUGCGCGGUGUAGCGGUGAAAUGCAUAGAUAUCACGCAGAACCCCGAUUGCGAAGGCAGCAUGCCGGCUUCCGACUGACGCUGAAGCACGAAAGCGUGGGGAGCAAACAGG
rnacentral:rRNA from 1 species